CUGACCCGACCCGACAACCCGACCCGAACCCAACCCGAAAUAAAUGGGUUUUGAAAGAGAUUUUCAACCCGUUUAUGUAAUUGGGUCAACCCGAACCCGACCUGAAGUUAAAUGGGUCGGGUACAGGUUGGAAAUCCCAACCCGAAACCAGCCCGCCUAAACCCAUUUAAUUAAUUGGGUUGGUUUCAGGUCGGGUCAACCCGAACCUAACCCACCUAAACCUGUUAACCAGCCCUAAUUUUAGUUAUUUACACCCUAACUUUUUAAUAUGGGCUAAGCCCAAAUAUCUAACCACAAAAAUGAAAAACCCUAAGCUUUUUUCUUUAUUCACGCCGCUUCCCCAAUUCCCCUCUUUCACUCAUUCUCUCUCCUCUCUCUCUCUCUCUCUUUCAUCUUUCUUCUCUCUUGUUUUCAUAUUUUUUUUCCAUGAAAAUUGUUUAUUAAAGCUUGUGAAUCUUCAUCUCAACAUUGUCAAAGAUGGUUGAUACUUGAUUGUCCUCUUCCUCCAUAACCCGUUGAACUUGCUGAUUAUGAAGAAUCAGAUGAUGAAGUUACUAAUUGGCAAAUAUUGAAUUUUUGUUAUAUGUAUUUUAGAACUCUUGGAACUUUUUAGUGUUGUAUAAUUGUACUAUAAACUAUGCAGCAAGUGGCUUUGAAUUUGCAUUUUACA